GUGUAUUUGGAAAUAUCCCUAAUACAGGAUCACUUGGAUCCGUCGGCGAUGACGAGCGCGAAAGAAUGCGAAAAGUCCUCACGGAAUGCUCUAAUUAUGAGAUAAUCUCAUGGAUACUCCCUGGACUUAAGCAUAUCAUUAAGGGAAGGAAAAGAAACUAACUAGGAUUCCGUUAGUAGUGGCGAAUGAACACGGAAGAGCUCCAAUGGUAAAGCCUAAGUGCUGUUGUAAUGUAGCCUCCGAAAACAUUCUGGAAAGGAUGACCACAGUGGGUGAUAGUCCCAGAGGAGGAUGUAAAGAAUAGAGUAGUGCUGCUUGGUAGUGCAGUAUGAAGAGGAGGUAGAAACUUCUAAAGCUAAAUACAGACGGAUACCGAUAGAGAAGAAGUAGUGCGAACGAAAGUUGAAAAGAUCUCAUCUAGAGAAUGAAAAGUGAAAGUAUUAGGGCGUAAGCUGAUGACAUCAGACCCGUAUUGAAACACGGACCAAGGAGACUUUGAGUAUAGCGAGGCGAAGGAUGUGAAGUCCCCACCCGCGAGAAAUCUACAAGUUAUACUGAUAGGACCCGAAAGGCAGUAACU
rnacentral:ncRNA from 1 species